rnacentral:rRNA from 1 species
UACGUAGGCAGCGAGCGUUGUUCGGAAUUACUGGGCGUAAAGAGUGUGUAGGCGGUGCUCUAAGUUCGGUGGGAAAUCUCCCGGCUUAACUGGGAGGGUGCGCCGGAAACUGGAGUGCUCGAACGUGGGAGAGGAAAGCGGAAUUCCUGGUGUAGCGGUGAAAUGCGCAGAUAUCGGGAAGAACACCCGUGGCGAAGGCGGCUCUCUGGGACGGUACUGACGCUGAGACGCGAAAGCGUGGGGAGCGAACAGG